rnacentral:tRNA from 1 species
GAGGGUAUAGCUCAAAUGGUAGGGUGCAUGCUCAGCAUGCAUGAAGACCUGGGUUCAAUCCUUAGUACUUCCA